GGGGUAAGAAACCUAUUCAUGACUUCUAAUCAAUGACUAAAGUGAUUUGUGCCACUUAUACCCCU
rnacentral:tRNA from 1 species